rfam:Aedes albopictus isolate Foshan contig149700, whole genome shotgun sequence.
UAAGAGGUUCUUAGAACCAUCAAUAAAUCAAAAUAAAAUAUGU